rnacentral:rRNA from 1 species
CUUGGUCAUUUAGAGGAAGUAAAAGUUGUAACAAGGUUUCCGUAGGUGAACCUGCGGAAGGAUCAUUAACAAAUCCAAUAAUUGCGGGAGAACGUGUUUGUUCUUUUUGCAAAUAUUAAUCCGCUGGCUGCUCUUAGUAGCAGCUGGCUGUGAUAUAAAUGCGUGAUAUGUUGACAGUGUGUGUAUAAUUAAAUAUUGACAACUUUUAACAAUGGAUCUCUAGGCUCUUGCAACGAUGAAGAACGCAGCAAAGUGCGAAAUGUAGUGAACAUAGCAGCACAAUUGUGAAUCAUCGAAUCUUUGAACGCACAUUGCGCCUCCGGUAGCUCGGAGGCAUGCCUGUCUGAGCGUCAUUUAAAACCAUGGACCCAGGAUUGGGUCCGUAUUGGGCGUCGCCCCCCUCUCCAGAGUGGCGCGUGGCCUCAAAGACAUUGGUCUCACAUGCGGACGAGCUCCCCUGGGACAGACCGCGUGGAGACCCUAAGCAUCUGACUUUGAUCUCAGAUCAGGUAGGACUACCGCCUGAACUUAAGCAUAUCAAUAAGCGGAGGA